rnacentral:rRNA from 1 species
AGACAAGUUACAAAGGGCGUAUGGAGGAUGCCUAGGCUCUCAAAGGCGAAGAAGGACGUGAUAAGCUGCGAAAAGCUAUGGGGAGAGGCACAUACUCUGCGAUCCAUAGAUAUCCGAAUGGGGCAACCCGGCUGUUUGAAGAACAGUCACCUGGUAACAGGAGCAAACCUGCCGAACUGAAACAUCUAAGUAAGCAGAGGAAGAGAAAACAAAUAGUGAUUUCCCAAGUAGUGGCGAGCGAACGGGAAAGAGCCCAAACCGGAAGUGUUACGGCACUUUCGGGGUAGUAGGACCACUUUUUAGAACUAACCAUCAACAAGAACCCUGUGGGAAAAGGGGCGAGACAAGGUGAGAGCCCUGUAUUGGCAAGUGCGUUAGUUUGUAGUGGGAUCCUGAGUAGGGCGGGGUAGGAGACGCCCCGUCUGAAUCUGCCGGCACCAUCCGGCAAGGCUAAAUACUCUUGAGAGACCGAUAGUGGACAAGUACCGUGAGGGAAAGGUGAAAAGAACCGGGCAUACCGGAGUGAAAAGAACCUGAAACCAUACGCUUACAAGCGGUCGGAGCAGACUAGUUCUGUGACGGCGUGCCUUUUGCAUAAUGAGCCUACGAGUUACUGUUUCUAGCCAGGUUAAGUAUCUGUAGAUACGCAGCCGCAGCGAAAGCGAGUCUGAAUAGGGCGUAUAGUUAGAGGCAGUAGACGCGAAACUUUGUGAUCUACCCAUGAGCAGGUUGAAGUUGCCGUAACAGGCAAUGGAGGACCGAACUAGUAUCCGUUGAAAAGGAUUUGGAUGACUUGUGGGUAGGGGUGAAAGGCCAAUCAAACUGAGAAAUAGCUCGUACUCCCCGAAAUGUUUUUAGGAACAGCCUCGUGGUCAGAGUGUGUUAGAGGUAGAGCUACCGAUAGGACUAGGGGGUGUCACAACCUACCAAAUCCUGACGAACUCCGAAUGCUAAACACAUAUACACGGGAGUGAGGGCUUGGGUGCUAAGGUCCAAGUCCGAAAGGGAAAGAACCCAGCCCAACAGCUAAGGUCCCAAAAUCUAUGCUAAGUUGAACAAAGGAAGUCUACCUGCAAAGACAGCCAGGAUGUUGGCUUGGAAGCAGCCAUUCAUUUAAAGAGUGCGUAACAGCUCACUGGUCGAGCGGGUGGGGCAUCGAUAAUAAACGGGCAUCAAGCAUAGUACCGAAGCUUUGGAUAAUAUAGGUUACCUAUAUUGUGGUAGGGGAGCAUUCCUGCAGCAGAGAAGCGGAAGGCGGCAAGCCACCGUGGAGCGGCAGGAAAAGCAAAUGUAGGCAUAAGUAACGAUAAGGCAGGUGAGAAACCUGCCCACCGAUAGACUCAGGUUUCCUGAUCAACGUUAAUCGGAUCAGGGUUAGUCGGGGGCUAAGGGGUUAGCGAAAGCGAAGCCUCGAUGCAAGACAGGUUAAUAUUCCUGUACUUGAGCAGUCAGUCAGCAGAUGACGGAGUAAGCAAGGGUUUGCGCACAGACGGAAUUGUGCGUUGAAGGUGCUAUGGCACUGAUAGUACCUGAAGGCUUCGGCCGGAGGGAUAAUGACCCGGAGGAGCUUCCAAGAAAAGUUUGUCUGACAAUGAUUGUUCAACCCGUACCGCAAACCGACACAGGUAGUCAAGUGGAGAACACUAAGGUGCUCGAGUGAAUCACGGCUAAGGAACUCGGCAAAAUAACCCUGUAACUUCGGGAGAAGGGGAGCCUACUUAGCAAUAAGAGGUCGCAGAGAAAUGGCCCAGGCGACUGUUUAACAAAAACACAUGGCUUUGCAAAAACGAAAGUUGACGUAUAAGGCCUGACACCUGCCCGGUGCUGGAAGGUUAAGGGGGGGAGUUAGCGCAAGCGAAGCUCUGAACUGAAGCCCCAGUAAACGGCGGCCGUAACUAUAACGGUCCUAAGGUAGCGAAAUUCCUUGUCGGGUAAGUUCCGACCUGCACGAAUGGUGUAACGAUCUGGGCGCUGUCUCAGCCGUGAGCUCGGUGAAAUUGUAGUAGCGGUGAAGAUGCCGCUUACCCGCAACGGGACGGAAAGACCCCGUGCACCUUUACUAUAGCUUCACAUUGACUUUGGGUAACGCAUGUGUAGGAUAGGCCGGAGGCUAUGAAGGGGUGUCGCUAGGCAUCCUGGAGCCGCCCUUGAAAUACGGCCCUUGCUUUACCUAGAGCCUAAUCUGUAAUAAGAGACAGUGUGUGGUGGGUAGUUUGACUGGGGUGGUCGCCUCCAAAAGAGUAUCGGAGGCUUUCAAAGGUACCCUCAGCACGCUUGGUAACCGUGCGUAGAGUGCAAUAGCAGAAGGGUGCUUGACUGUGAGACUAACAAGUCGAGCAGGGUCGAAAGACGGAUAUAGUGAUCCGGUGGUUCCAUAUGGAAGGGCCAUCGCUCAAAGGAUAAAAGGUACGCCGGGGAUAACAGGCUGAUCUCCCCCAAGAGCUCACAUCGACGGGGAGGUUUGGCACCUCGAUGUCGGCUCGUCACAUCCUGGGGCUGGAGAAGGUCCCAAGGGUUCGGCUGUUCGCCGAUUAAAGUGGCACGCGAGCUGGGUUCAGAACGUCGUGAGACAGUUCGGUCCCUAUCUGUUGCGGGCGUUAGGAUAUUUGAAGAGGCGCUGACCUUAGUACGAGAGGACCGGGUUGGACCAACCGCUGGUAUAUCAGUUGUUUUGCCCAAGGCAUCGCUGAGUAGCCACGUUGGGAGCAGAUAAGCGCUGAAAGCAUCUAAGUGCGAAACUGACCUCAAGAUGAGAUAUCCCUGAAGGGUCGUGGGAGAUGACCACGUUGAUAGGUGGCAAGUGUACAAGUUGAAAGACUCUGAGCUGAGCCAUACUAAUUGCCCGAUAGGCUUCUCUUA